GGGUCUGUAGCUCAGGUGGUUAGAGCACCGUCUUGAUAAGGCGGGGGUCGAAGGUUCAAGUCCUUCCAGACCCACCA
rnacentral:tRNA from 32 species